CUUUUACAAUGAAGAGUUUGAUCCUGGCUCAGGAUGAACGCUAGCUACAGGCUUAACACAUGCAAGUCGAGGGGCAUCAGGAAGAAAGCUUGCUUUCUUUGCUGGCGACCGGCGCACGGGUGAGUAACACGUAUCCAACCUGCCCUUUACUCGGGGAUAGCCUUUCGAAAGAAAGAUUAAUACCCGAUAGCAUAAUGAUUCCGCAUGGUUUCAUUAUUAAAGGAUUCCGGUAAAGGAUGGGGAUGCGUUCCAUUAGGUUGUUGGUGAGGUAACGGCCCACCAAGCCUUCGAUGGAUAGGGGUUCUGAGAGGAAGGUCCCCCACAUUGGAACUGAGACACGGUCCAAACUCCUACGGGAGGCAGCAGUGAGGAAUAUUGGUCAAUGGGCGCUAGC
rnacentral:rRNA from 1 species